AGAUUUCUUUUUCUCUCUCUGUGAUCUUACACAGCACCCAACGACAGCCCCCCCACCCCCCCCAUAUAUAUAAAGUGGGUGUUCAUGUUCGGUAUUGUAGAUGUGUUUUUUCUUGGCUUCGAAGCGCCUUUCUCAGAUAGGAGAGGAAAUCGAAGAGAGCCCACGUACGAUUUUCUUGAAAUAGAGUUGUUUUAGGAGAAGUCCAGAAGGGAAAUCGGCUAUGGAGGAAAUGCGCAGUGAUUGUUCUUCAAGUGGAGUUCAAGAGUUGCAUGUUCUUGCUGUGGAUGAUAGUCUUGUCGAUCGCAAGGUCAUUGAGCGGUUGCUCAAGAUUUCUUGCUGUAAAGUGACUGCUGUGGAAAGUGGGAGGAGGGCUUUGCAGUAUUUGGGAUUAGAUGGAGAGAGAAGCUCUGUUGGAUUUGAUGAAUUGAAGGUGAAUCUGAUAAUGACAGACUAUUCUAUGCCUGGAAUGACAGGAUAUGAACUUCUCAAAAAGAUCAAGGGCUCCUCGAAGCUGAGGGAAAUACCGGUUGUGGUUAUGUCGUCGGAGAACGUUCUGGCUCGCAUCGAUAGGUGUCUGGAGGAAGGGGCAGAAGAGUUCCUCGUUAAGCCCGUGAAGCUCUCGGACGUGGAGAGGUUGAGAGACUUCAUAUUGAAAGGGGAGGAAAAGAGCGAAAGGGAAUUUUCGCACAAGAGGAAAAUGUCCGAUGACUCGUGCACACUAACACCAUCGUCGAUGGCCUCCUCACCGUCGUCCUCUGAUUCUGAUCUUCCGUUGUCUCCUAUGUCAAUAGUAUCGGAUGAGCCUCGGCCCAAGCGUGCAAGAUUGCUCGACGACAAUUGAUGAACCGAUGAUUGUAGUUUUGAUUCAGUUUUCCAUUUUGUCGGCCAUACAAGAUUAAAUAUCAGUAGGUACUAGCGAGGAUUGCCUCUUUUGCAUAUUUGGAGGAAGCAUCGGCAGCUUAGAAUUGUACAUGAUAUACUUGGUUGUAAUCUCACGAGACUCGCAAGUAAACAAAGGGAGACACAAGCCUGAUGAAUGAUCCGUGGAGGCGAAGAGCCCGAAAUUUUUGAUUUUUUCCUUUUUUCUUCUCCUGGUGGGAUUGUUACAGUGCAGAAAAUUCAGAAUAGCCUGCGACUACGGAUUCGAGGUUGAUUGCAAUCAUGACCCAAGAAGUGGUAUUGUACAAUUCCCGUGGCCCAAUUGGGUAAAAUUUCAUUGCACAAAUGGUCCUCCAUUUUUAGCAUGUAUUCCCAAAACACCCUAUUAUUUGAAUUAAAUUUCCAAA